rnacentral:lncRNA from 1 species
CGUCGCCCUCUCAGCCGUUGAACCUUCUUAUUGGUUUCUUCCGUCUGUUCAGCCGAAGCAGUCUUCACAUGCUGGGUGAGCAAAGCCCUAGUUCACCAGGGUUGAUGUCGACCCGAUGGCUACCCUCACAAGGUUUAGCCGGCCUGUCGAAGCCGUUGCCCGGGGUGUGGCCGCUGCUGCAUGCUAGCAGCUACUGGGAGCCACAAGUGAGAGCUGGGUGUCAGGUGGGGGUCAGAGGCUGGAGAGCUGCCUUAGGAGGGCACGACAAGCCCUCCAUACCAGAGAUACUACCCCUCCCUGAGCACCCCAUACACCCCUGUGUAUGACAUAUGGCAUGCUGUGAUGGAUCUAGACCUGGGCGUCUACAUCAAAUACCGACUGGAUGGCUCACUAUUUGACCUUUGCCGCCUGACUGCAAAAACAAAGACAACAGAGAGACUCAUCCUGGAAGCUCUCUUUGCAGAUGACUGUGCUCUCAUGGCCCACCAAGAAAAUCAUCUCCAAACCAUUGUGGACAGGUUCUCCACUGCAACAAAACUGUUUGGCCUGACUAUCAGCCUCAGCAAAACAGAGGUGCUGUUCCAACCUGCACCAGGGAGGCCAACGAACCAGCCGUGCAUUACAAUCAACAGCACGCAACUUUCUAAUGUCAACACUUUCAAGUACCUGGGCAGCACCAUCGCCAAUGACAGGUCCCUAGACCACGAGAUUAAUGCCAGGAUCCAAAAGGCCAGCCAGGCACUCGGGCGGCUGCGCUCCAAAGUCCUCCAACACAGAGGUGUAAGCACUGCGAUGAAACUCAAAGUGUAUAAUGCAGUGGUCCUCAGCUCACUCCUGUACGGUUGCGAGACAUGGACACUGUACCGGAAGCACAUGAAACAGCUGGAGCAAUUCCACCAACACUCCCUCCGGUCAAUCAUGAGGAUCCGAUGGCAGGACCGAAUCACCAACCAGGAAGUCCUCGACAGAGCCAACUCCACCAGCAUCGAAGUCCUGGUCCUCAAAACCCAGCUACGAUGGUCUGGACAUGUCAUCCGCAUGGACCCACAGCGAAUACCAAGACAGGUAUUCUAUGGUGAACUGUUAGCUGGACUCAGGAAACAAGGCCAACCAAAGAAAAGAUUCAAGGAUCAGCUAAAGUCAAACUUGAAGUGGGCUGGCAUUACACCAAAGCAACUAGAACUCGCUACCUCUGACAGAAGCAGCUGGCGAACCCACAUUCACCAUGCCGCCACCACCUUUGAAGAUGAGCGACGUCGACGUCUUGCCACUGCGCGUGAACGCCGACACCAGGCCACAACCGCACCUCCCGUAACAACUGGCGUCCCAUGCCCCAUGUGCCACAAACUCUGCGCCUCAGCCUUUGGACUCCAAAGCCACAUGAGGGUACACCGUAGAUGAAACUGCACAAAGACAAUAGUCAUUCUCAAUCACCGAG